rnacentral:tRNA from 1 species
GCGACCGUGGUCUAGUCUGGUUAGGACGGAAGCCUCCCAAGCUUCCAAGCCGGGUUCAAAUCCAUGGCGAGCGAU